rnacentral:rRNA from 1 species
UACGUAGGGUGCGAGCGUUGUCCGGAAUUAUUGGGCGUAAAGGGCUCGUAGGCGGUUUGUCGCGUCGGGAGUGAAAACCUUGGGCUUAACUCAGGGCUUGCUUUCGAUACGGGCAGACUAGAGGUAUGCAGGGGAGAACGGAAUUCCUGUGUAGCAGUGAAAUGCGUAGAUAUCAGGAGGAACACCGAUGGCGAAGGCAGGUCUCUGGGCUGACACUGACGCUCAUGCACGAAAGCGUGGGGAGCAAACAGG